rnacentral:pre_miRNA from 1 species
UGUUACCUGUGUGUGGAUAGUGUUCAGCACCAGGGGCAUGCAUGUUUACCUGUGUGUGGAUAAUAUUCAGCACGACAGGCAUGUUUACCU